rfam:Myotis brandtii contig157607, whole genome shotgun sequence.
GGCAGUUCUCAGGUGACACAGCCUGGAACCAGGCUCCCUACUCUCCAGUUGCAGGUGCGUCACCCGAGAAUCUCC